rnacentral:rRNA from 1 species
GACGUAGGGCGCGAGCGUUGUCCGGAUUUAUUGGGCGUAAAGAGCUCGUAGGCGGCUUGUUGCGUCGGCUGUGAAAACCCGCGGCUUAACCGCGGGCCUGCAGCCGAUACGGGCAGGCUAGAGUUCGGUAGGGGAGACUGGAAUUCCUGGUGUAGCGGUGAAAUGCGCAGAUAUCAGGAGGAACACCGGUGGCGAAGGCGGGUCUCUGGACAUUUCCUGACGCUGAGGCACGAAAGCCAGGGGAGCAAACGGG